GAUGAACGCUGGCGGCGUGCCUAAUACAUGCAAGUCGAGCGAACAGGCGAGGAGCUUGCUCCUCUGACGUUAGCGGCGGACGGGUGAGUAACACGUGGAUAACCUACCUAUAAGACUGGGAUAACUUCGGGAAACCGGAGCUAAUACCGGAUAAUAUAUUGAACCGCAUGGUUCAAUAGUGAAAGACGGUUUUGCUGUCACUUAUAGAUGGAUCCGCGCCGCAUUAGCUAGUUGGUAAGGUAACGGCUUGCCAAGGCAACGAUGCGUAGCCGACCUGAGAGGGUGAUCGGCCACACUGGAACUGAGACACGGUCCAGACUCCUACGGGAGGCAGCAGUAGGGAAUCUUCCGCAAUGGGCGAAAGCCUGACGGAGCAACGCCGCGUGAGUGAUGAGGGUCUUCGGAUCGUAAAACUCUGUUAUUAGGGAAGAACAAAUGUGUAAGUAACUAUGCACGUCUUGACGGUACCUAAUCAGAAAGCCACGGCUAACUACGUG
rnacentral:rRNA from 1 species